rnacentral:rRNA from 1 species
GGUUAAGCGAAUAAGCGUACACGGUGGAUGCCUAGGCAAUCAGAGGCGAUGAAGGACGUGCUAAUCUGCGAAAAGCGUCGGUAAGGUGAUAUGAACCGUUAUACCCGACGAUAUCCGAAUGGGGAAACCCAGUAUCCAAUGGAUACUAUCAUUAACUGAAUCCAUAGGUUAAUGAGGCGAACCGGGAGAACUGAAACAUCUCAGUACCCCGAGGAAAAGAAAUCAACCGAGAUUCCCCUAGUAGCGGCGAGCGAACGGGGAGCAGCCCAGAGUCUUAAUCAAUAGCAGUGUCAGGAGAACGGUCUGGAAAGUCCGGCAGUAAAGGGUGAUAGCCCCGUAUCUGAAGAUGCUGUUAUUGUGAACUCGACGAGUAGGGCGGGACACGUGUUAUCCUGUCUGAAUAUGGGGGGACCAUCCUCCAAGGCUAAAUACUCCUGAUUGACCGAUAGUGAACCAGUACCGUGAGGGAAAGGCGAAAAGAACCCCGGCGAGGGGAGUGAAAAAGAACCUGAAACCGUGUACGUACAAGCAGUAGGAGCCNNACUGCGUACCUUUUGUAUAAUGGGUCAGCGACUUAUAUUCUGUAGCGAGGUUAACCGUAUAGGGGAGCCGUAGGGAAACCGAGUCUUAACUGGGCGAAUGAGUUGCAGGGUAUAGACCCGAAACCCGGUGAUCUAUCCAUGGGCAGGUUGAAGGUUGGGUAACACUAACUGGAGGACCGAACCGACUAAUGUUGAAAAAUUAGCGGAUGACUUGUGGAUGGGGGUGAAAGGCCAAUCAAACCGGGAGAUAGCUGGUUCUCCCCGAAAGCUAUUUAGGUAGCGCCUCGUGAACUCAUCUUCGGGGGUAGAGCACUGUUUCGACUAGGGGGUCAUCCCGACUUACCAACUCGAUGCAAACUGCGAAUACCGAAGAAUGUUAUCACGGGAGACACACGGCGGGUGCUAACGUCCGUCGUGAAGAGGGAAACAACCCAGACCGCCAGCUAAGGUCCCAAAGUCAUGGUUAAGUGGGAAACGAAGUGGGAAGGCUCAGACAGCCAGGAUGUUGGCUUAGAAGCAGCCAUCAUUUAAAGAAAGCGUAAUAGCUCACUGGUCGAGUCGGCCCGCGCGGAAGAUGUAACGGGGCUAAACCAUGCACCGAAGCUGCGGCAGCGANNGUUGGGUAGGGGAGCGUUCUGUAAGCCUGCGAAGGUGUACUGUGAGGUAUGCUGGAGGUAUCAGAAGUGCGAAUGCUGACAUAAGUAACGAUAAUGCGGGUGAAAAACCCGCACGCCGGAAGACCAAGGGUUCCUGUCCAACGUUAAUCGGGGCAGGGUGAGUCGACCCCUAAGGCGAGGCUGAAAAGCGUAGUCGAUGGGAAACGGGUUAAUAUUCCCGUACUGGUGGUAACUGCGAUGGGGGAACGGAGAAGGCUAGGUUGUCCGGGCGACGGUCGUCCCGGUUCAAGCAGGUAGGCAGAGUGAUUAGGCAAAUCCGGUCACUUAAUGCUGAGAUGUGAUGACGAACCACUAAGGUGGUGAAGCAAUUGAUGCCCCGCUUCCAGGAAAAGCCUCUAAGCUUCAGGUUACCAACAAUCGUACCCCAAACCGACACAGGUGGUCAGGUAGAGAAUACUCAGGCGCUUGAGAGAACUCGGGUGAAGGAACUAGGCAAAAUGGUGCCGUAACUUCGGGAGAAGGCACGCUGGCGGUAGGUAAAGUCCCUCGCGGACGGCGCUGAAGCCAGUCGAAGAUACCAGCUGGCUGCAACUGUUUAUUAAAAACACAGCACUGUGCAAACACGAAAGUGGACGUAUACGGUGUGACGCCUGCCCGGUGCUGGAAGGUUAAUUGAUGGGGUCAGCCGUAAGGCGAAGCUCCUGAUCGAAGCCCCAGUAAACGGCGGCCGUAACUAUAACGGUCCUAAGGUAGCGAAAUUCCUUGUCGGGUAAGUUCCGACCUGCACGAAUGGCGUAAUGAUGGCCAGGCUGUCUCCACCCGAGACUCAGUGAAAUUGAACUCGCUGUGAAGAUGCAGUGUACCCGCGGCAAGACGGAAAGACCCCGUGAACCUUUACUAUAGCUUGACACUGAACAUUGAGCCUUGAUGUGUAGGAUAGGUGGGAGGCUUUGAAGUGUGGACGCCAGUCUGCAUGGAGCCAACCUUGAAAUACCACCCUUUAACGUUUGAUGUUCUAACCUAGGCCCAUAAACUGGGUCGGGGACCGUGUCUGGUGGGUAGUUUGACUGGGGCGGUCUCCUCCUAAAGAGUAACGGAGGAGCACGAAGGUUGGCUAAGCAUGGUCGGACAUCAUGCGGUUAGUGCAAAGGCAUAAGCCAGCUUGACUGCGAGAGUGACGGCUCGAGCAGGUACGAAAGUAGGUCUUAGUGAUCCGGUGGUUCUGAAUGGAAGGGCCAUCGCUCAACGGAUAAAAGGUACUCCGGGGAUAACAGGCUGAUACCGCCCAAGAGUUCAUAUCGACGGCGGUGUUUGGCACCUCGAUGUCGGCUCAUCACAUCCUGGGGCUGAAGUAGGUCCCAAGGGUAUGGCUGUUCGCCAUUUAAAGUGGUACGCGAGCUGGGUUUAGAACGUCGUGAGACAGUUCGGUCCCUAUCUGCCGUGGGCGUUGGAAGAUUGAGAGGGGUUGCUCCUAGUACGAGAGGACCGGAGUGAACGCACCACUGGUGUUCGGGUUGUCAUGCCAAUGGCAUUGCCCGGUAGCUAAGUGCGGAAGAGAUAACCGCUGAAAGCAUCUAAGCGGGAAACUUGCCUCGAGAUGAGUCUUCCCUGUCNNNNNNNNNNNNNNNNNNNNNNNNUUAAGACUAAGACGUUGAUAGGCUGGGUGUGUAAGCGUAGCGAUACGUUGAGCUAACCAGUACUAAUGAACCGUGAGGCUUAACCUG